GGACUACUAGGGUUUCUAAUCCUGUUUGCUCCCCUUGCUUUCGCGCCUCAGCGUCUGGUUUAAGCUAGAAAACCGCUUUCGCCACAGGUGUUCUUCCACAUCUCUACGCAUUUCACCGCUACACGUGGAAUUCCGUUUUCUCCGCCUAUCCUCAAGACAGGGAGUUUCAAAUGCUGCUUCGAAGUUGAGCUCCGAAAUUUCACAUCUGACUUUCCUAUCCGCCUACGCGCCCUUUACGCCCAAUAAAUCCGAUUAAUGCUUGCACCCUCCGUAUUACCGCGGCUGCUGGCAC
rnacentral:rRNA from 1 species